UACGAAGGGGGCUAGCGUUGCUCGGAAUGACUGGGCGUAAAGGGUGCGUAGGCGGCUUGUUAAGUCAGGGGUGAAAGUUUUCGGCCCAACCGGAAAAUUGCCUUUGAUACUGGCGAGCUCGAGUGCGUGAGGGGUAACCGGAACGAGCAGUGUAGCGGUGAAAUGACGUAGAUAUUGCUCGGAAGGCCAACGGCGAAGGCAGGUUACUGGUACGCAACUGACGCUGAGGCACGAAAGCGUGGGGAGCAAACAGG
rnacentral:rRNA from 1 species